rnacentral:rRNA from 1 species
GAUGAACGCUGGCGGCGUGCCUAAUACAUGCAAGUCGAGCGGACGGACGCGAAGCUUGUGUCUCUGAUGUUAGCGGCGGGCGGGUGAGUAACACGUGGAUCACCUACUUAUCAGACUGGGAUAACUACGGAACACCGGAUAUAAUACCGUAUGAUAUUUUGAACCGCAGGGUUCAAAAGUGAAAGACGGCCUUGGUGUCUGUAAUAGCUGGUUCCGCGCUGCAUUAGCUAGUUGGUAAGGUCACGGCUUACCAAGGCUACGAUGCAUAGCCGACCUGAGGGGGUGAUCGGCCACACUGGAACGGAGACACGGUCCAGACUCCUACGGGAGGCAGCAGUAGGGAAUCUUCGGCAAAGGGCGAAAGCCUGACGGAGCAACGCCGCGUGAGUGAUGAAGGUCUUCGGAUCGUAAAGCUCUUUUAUUGGGGAAGAACAUAUGUGUAAUUAACUGUGCACAUCUUGACGGUACCUAAUCAGAAAGCAACGGCUAACUACGUG